rnacentral:tRNA from 1 species
GCCCAGCUAGCUCAGUUGGUAAAGCAUGAGAUGCUUAAUCUCAGGGUCAUGGUUUUGUGCCCCAUGUUGGGCA